UACGUAGGGUGCGAGCGUUAAUCGGAAUUACUGGGCGUAAAGCGUGCGCAGGCGGUUCGUUGUGUCGGCGGUGAAAGCCCCGGGCUCAACCUGGGAAUUGCGAUGGAGACUGCAAGGCUAGAAUCUGGCAGAGGGGGGUAGAAUUCCACGUGUAGCAGUGAAAUGCGUAGAGAUGUGGAGGAACACCGAUGGCGAAGGCAGCCCCCUGGGUCAAGAUUGACGCUCAUGCACGAAAGCGUGGGGAGCAAACAGG
rnacentral:rRNA from 1 species